GGGCGCUGCUCGAGUGGGAGGAAGGAAGUGAUGAAAAUAGCCUGGCUUAUCCCCCGAAUGCAGCCGCCGGGGGGCCCUAUCUGCGGGGGCAGCGGGCACUCAGGGAUCCAGCGGGCUCGGGCCCAGAACUCUCCAGAGCACAGAGGUCGGUUUUUGACCACGAGGACUUGAUGUGAGACUUCCGAUUUGAAGACAAAGCAAGAGCUGAAUGUUGCCAAUGGCGGGAAUGAGCCAGCAAGUGGAUUCUAACCCAGAGCAUCUGGGAAGGGACACAGGCAGCCCUGCCCACACUUGAUUUCAGCCUUGUGAGACCUUAAGCACAGAACCAAGAGCCACACUGGGCCCACACCUCUGCCCCUUGAAAAAUGUGAGAUAAGAAACGAGUGUUGCUGUAAGCCUUACUACAAGUCUGUAGUAAUUUCUCACAGCAGCAAGAGAAAACCAACGCCAAGGGCAGGAUCCGCUCAGGUGCUCUGCAUUCUAUCCCCUUUGGGAAAAGUCAUGAAAGGAAAUGUUGUUCAGAAUGGAGCGGGGAGGCAGGCAGGGGGAGCGCUCGUGCCCUACCACCCAUGGUCAAUUACAGACCCAAUAGGAAGAGAGGGACCUGGCACUUGAAUGCUACUUUACUCUCUAGCAGGUGGAAGGAAGGUUUCUCUUGCCCCGCCUUCGCAACAGCCCAGCCAAUGAGAGGCUGUCCCAACUCAGCCAAUGAGAAGUCACUACACUUUGAGCUCCUAGUUUACGCCAAUGGGCUUUUUGUUUAAUGAAGACAGCCCCUCCCAGCUCCUCCCUUUCCUCUAUAAAAGAGCCUUCUCUUUUAUUCUGCGGAUUUGCCUAUGGUUUUGCAGUAGCUUCUUUGUCUCCAGUUGCAAUUCUCUGCUGUUCCCGAAUAAGCCCAUUUUUUUGCUGGCAAGGUAACUGAUAGUUUUAUUUUUAAGGUCAUCAUCUUUCACCUUCUUAAGCACAUUGCUCCCACAGCUAGCCAUUCUCCCGCAUCAUCAAAUUUAUCCUCUACAGUACCAUUCCCAUUAGAUUGCAAAUGGUCUAUAAUAUCGUCGUUUUAUAAAACCCUCCCUAAUGCCACACUUUAAUCCGGUCUCCUCCACUUCUCCUGCCUCUCUCCAUCACGAAAUUCCUCCAAAGAUUUGGUUUCACCUGCUAUCCAACUCAUCAGUAAUUCCUGUUGUCUCAGCCCCCAAAUAUACAGAAUUUACCCACUGGACUGCCACUGCCCUGGUCUUCUGUAAACUUUCUCAGCUUCCUAUUGCAACUAGAAUAAACUCCAUUUUCCGUG